UACGUAGAAGACUAGUGUUAUUCAUCUUUAAUAGGUUUAAAGGGUACCUAGACGGUAUAAUUAGUCUUUAACAGGAAACGGUUAUACUAGAGUUAUAUAUGAGGAGGUGAGUAUUUGUGGAGUAGAGUUGAAAUUCUUUGAUACCAUGAAGACUGGUAAAGGCGAAAGCAACCUUUUAUCUAAUAACUGACGUUGAGGGACGAAGGCUCGGGUCGCAACAGG
rnacentral:rRNA from 1 species